GUGUGUAUUAGUGCACUGUGCAAGAUGUCAUUGACAUGACCUGUCAAGAAGUCAGAAGUUACUACUUCUCCAAGACAAGCAUUCAAAAGCCCCUAGAGUAAACCUUGACGGGCACCGCAUAGCAUUGGGUAGUACGUUGCAUUGCCAGUAGAGCUUGACAUGCCCCACCUGUGAAGAAAAAGGCCUUGAAGAAGAUUUUUCUGCAGUACUUCAAUCAAAUAUACUUGAGGACAUUGCUUUCGUAGGCAUCGAAUGUUGUGCUUUGCAUUUUUAUGUUGCAUUCCAUUGUAUAUGUUCCUUGGCACCAGUCUGACCCGGUGACCUCACACUAAUUAAAGUAUUUAUAUUAAGAGGU